AGUGAACGCUGGCGGUAGGCCUAACACAUGCAAGUCGAACGGCAGCACAGUAAGAGCUUGCUCUUACGGGUGGCGAGUGGCGGACGGGUGAGGAAUACAUCGGAAUCUACUUUUUCGUGGGGGAUAACGUAGGGAAACUUACGCUAAUACCGCAUACGACCUACGGGUGAAAGCAGGGGAUCUUCGGACCUUGCGCGAUUGAAUGAGCCGAUGUCGGAUUAGCUAGUUGGCGGGGUAAAGGCCCACCAAGGCGACGAUCCGUAGCUGGUCUGAGAGGAUGAUCGGCCAAACUGGAACUGAGACACGGCCCAGACCCCUAGGGGAGCCAGCAGUGGGGAAUUUUGGAAAAUGGGCGAAACCCUGACCCAGCCAUCCCGGGUGGGUGAAGAAGGCCUUCGGGUUGUAAAGCCCUUUUUUUGGGAAAAAAAAGCAGCAGGUUAAAACCCCGCUGUUUUGACGGUACCAAAAAAAUAAGCACCGGCUAACUUCGU
rnacentral:rRNA from 1 species